rnacentral:rRNA from 1 species
GUGUCAGCAGCCGCGGUAACACCGGCGGCUCGAGUGGUAACCGCUAUUAUUUGGUCUAAAGGGUCUGUAGCCGGCCGAAUAAGUCUUUUGGGAAAUCUGGCUGCUCAACAGUCAGGCGAUCAGGAGAUACUGUUCGGCUCGAGGCCGGGAGAGGUGAGAGGUACUUCAGGGGUAGGGGUGAAAUCUUGUAAUCCUUGAAGGACCACCAGUGGCGAAGGCGUCUCACCAGAACGGGCCUGACGGCAAGGGACGAAAGCUAGGGGCACGAACCGGAUUAGAUACCCGGGUAGUCCUAGCCGUAAACGAUACUCGCUAGGUGUCGGCCACGGUGCGACCGUGGUCGGUGCCGUAGGGAAGCCGUGAAGCGAGCCACCUGGGAAGUACGGCCGCAAGGCUGAAACUCAAAUGAAUUGACGGGG